rnacentral:rRNA from 1 species
AUUGAACGCUGGCGGCAUGCUUUACACAUGCAAGUCGAACGGCAGCGGGGGCUUCGGCCUGCCGGCGAGUGGCGAACGGGUGAGUAAUGCAUCGGAACGUGCCCAUGUCGUGGGGGAUAACGUAUCGAAAGGUACGCUAAUACCGCAUACGCCCUGAGGGGGAAAGCGGGGGAUUCUUCGGAACCUCGCGCGAUAGGAGCGGCCGAUGUCGGAUUAGCUAGUAGGUGAGGUAAAGGCUCACCUAGGCGACGAUCCGUAGCGGGUCUGAGAGGAUGAUCCGCCACACUGGGACUGAGACACGGCCCAGACUCCUACGGGAGGCAGCAGUGGGGAAUUUUGGACAAUGGGCGCAAGCCUGAUCCAGCCAUGCCGCGUGAGUGAAGAAGGCCUUCGGGUUGUAAAGCUCUUUCGGCCGGGAAGAAAUCGUGUUCUCUAACAUAGGACAUGGAUGACGGUACCGGACUAAGAAGCACCGGCUAACUACGUGCCAGCCGCCGCGGUAAUAC